GACGAACGCUGGCGGCGUGCUUAACACAUGCAAGUCGAACGGAAAGGCCCUGCUUUUGUGGGGUGCUCGAGUGGCGAACGGGUGAGUAACACGUGAGUAACCUGCCCUUGACUUUGGGAUAACUUCAGGAAACUGGGGCUAAUACCGGAUAGGAGCUCCUGCUGCAUGGUGGGGGUUGGAAAGUUUCGGCGGUUGGGGAUGGACUCGCGGCUUAUCAGCUUGUUGGUGGGGUAGUGGCUUACCAAGGCUUUGACGGGUAGCCGGCCUGAGAGGGUGACCGGCCACAUUGGGACUGAGAUACGGCCCAGACUCCUACGGGAGGCAGAAGUGGGGAAUAUUGCACAAUGGGCGGAAGCCUGAUGCAGCAACGCCGCGUGCGGGAGGACGGCCUUCGGGUUGUAAACCGCUUUCGCCUGUGACGAAGCGUGAGUGACGGUAAUGGGUAAAGAAGCACCGGCUAACUACGU
rnacentral:rRNA from 1 species